UAUACACAAACUUAGAGAAGAAAAUCUAUCAGAGAAGCUUGCAAGAGACAGAAGAAAUGGAAAUCUAGGAAAAGCAAGGAAUUUGUGAGAUUGCCUAAGCUUCUGCUAUAAGUUGCCUGUUCCUGUUUUUAGUGCAAGAAAUAUGCUCGAGUCUCUGAAGCCACUGCUUCAGCCUUAAUAUCUGUGAUUCCUGGUACACAGGGAGGAGUGAGACACAGAUGAAUCAUCAGUUCUGGAUGAACUCAUCAAGGGAGAAGGGAGAUACAGAUGGCUUGUCAGCUCUGGAUGA